CAUAAGAGACUGAGAGUUCCCUUCUAUACCGGGGGGUUCUCUCAUGUCCGCCCACACUUUGUGAACUGUUACUGUCUCUGGCAGAUUCUUGCUAUCAAAGAGACGGUCCCUUUCAUUCCAAACAAUCUCUCACUCUUUCCAGGAGGGGGAUUGGAGGGGGACUAAUCAUUUUUAGCAAGUCUGCCAAAGGGCUUCGGCCCGCAAACUUUUUAAACUCUAUGCUUAACCUAUCAAAGUCUGAACCUUUUCAUAUUUAAUAAUGUGAAAA
rnacentral:misc_RNA from 1 species